rnacentral:rRNA from 1 species
UUUACCCUACGGGGCGCAGCAGUGGGGAAUAUUGCACAAUGGGGGGAACCCUGAUGCAGCGACGCCGCGUGGGCGAUGGAGUAUUUCGGUAUGUAAAGCCCUAUCGGCAGGGAAGAAGCCGACAGUACCUGACUAAGAAGCCCCGGCUAACUACGUGCCAGCAGCCGCGGUAAUACGUAGGGGGCAAGCGUUAUCCGGAUUCACUGGGCGUAAAGGGAGCGCAGGCGGCACGGCAAGCCUGGUGUGAAAACCCGGGGCCCAACCCCGGGCGUGCAUUGGGAACCGCCGC